GUCUUAGUUGUAUAGUGGUCAGCGCACUGGCCUCGUAUUCCAAAGGUCCGUGGUUCGAGUCCCGGCGAAGGCG
rnacentral:tRNA from 1 species